rnacentral:rRNA from 1 species
UCGAGCGAGCGGAACUACAGAUUUACUUCGGUAAUGACGUUAGGAAAGCGAGCGGCGGAUGGGUGAGUAACACGUGGGGAACCUGCCCCAUAGUCUGGGAUACCACUUGGAAACAGGUGCUAAUACCGGAUAAGAAAGCAGAUCGCAUGAUCAGCUUUUAAAAGGCGGCGUAAGCUGUCGCUAUGGGAUGGCCCCGCGGUGCAUUAGCUAGUUGGUAAGGUAAAGGCUUACCAAGGCGAUGAUGCAUAGCCGAGUUGAGAGACUGAUCGGCCACAUUGGGACUGAGACACGGCCCAAACUCCUACGGGAGGCAGCAGUAGGGAAUCUUCCACAAUGGACGCAAGUCUGAUGGAGCAACGCCGCGUGAGUGAAGAAGGUUUUCGGAUCGUAAAGCUCUGUUGUUGGUGAAGAAGGAUAGAGGUAGUAACUGGCCUUUAUUUGACGGUAAUCAACCAGAAAGUCACGGCUAACUACGUGCCAGCAGCCGCGGUAAUACGUAGGUGGCAAGCGUUGUCCGGAUUUAUUGGGCGUAAAGCGAGCGCAGGCGGAAGAAUAAGUCUGAUGUGAAAGCCCUCGGCUUAACCGAGGAACUGCAUCGGAAACUGU